rnacentral:rRNA from 1 species
AGUGGCGGCUCGGUUGCUUGCCAGAUCUGGCGGCCGGCUAGCACGCUCGGGGGCUGGUUGGACCUAUGGCGGAAGCGAGGGAGGAGGUCUGGUGGUGCUGCUCGUUUGCCGGUGGCGGAAGGAUUCUGGGGCGGCUCGGGUGAAAUCACCAAGUUUUCUCUUCCAUCAGCCCUCUCUCCUUCUUUAGGAUUAUUAGGACUUGGG